UACGAGGGGGGCGAGCGUUGUUCGGAAUUAUUGGGCGUAAAGGGUGCGUAGGCGGUUUGGUAAGUCUUGUGUGAAAUCUCCAGGGCUCAACUUGGGAGUCUGCACGAGAAACUGCCGGGCUUGAGUGUGGGAGAGGUGAGUGGAAUUCCCGGUGUAGCGGUGAAAUGCGCAGAUAUCGGGAGGAACACCGGUGGCGAAGGCGGUUCUC
rnacentral:rRNA from 1 species